AUGGAGUUGGUGAGCUGGAAUGUAAGAGGCCUCAAUAGUCUAGCCAAAAGAAAGGCGCUCCGAGAAUUCGUAGAUAUGAUGCGGGUGGCGAUCAUUUGUAUCCUAGAAACUAAGCUUGAGUAUGUAGAUCAAUUUGUAAUCCUACAAUGUAUGGGUCCUAAUUAUGAUGGUUUUACCUAUCUGCCUGUGUCUGACACGAGGGGUGGGAUGUUCGUGGCAUGGGAUUCCACUAGGGUACAACUAACAAAUUUUGCCAAUGAUACAAACUUCAUUACCGGUUUUGUAUCACCUAAGGAGGGCACCCCUUGA
rnacentral:rRNA from 1 species